GGGUGAGUACCAUGUAGGUGUCGGCCCUUUGGUGUGGAAUAACAGGAGGAAACGUGUGCCAAUACUGGAUUAGUCUUUAGGGAGAAAGCGAAAUGCACGAUUGGAGGAGCGAGCCCUUGAUGAGUUUGUUGGGGGGGUAAUGGCCUACCAAGACAAUGAUCGAUAUGUGAUUUGAGAGGAUGAUGAGCCACAUUGGAACUGAGCCAGGAUCAAAAUUAAUCCGGGAGGCAGCAGUAGGGAAUCUUGCACAAUGGAGGAAACUCUGAUGCAGCGAUGCCGCGUGAGUGAAGAAGGCCUUUGGGUUGUAAAGCUCUUUCGUCGGGGAAGAAAAUGACUGUACCCGAAUAAGAAGGUCCGGCUAACUUCGUGCCAGCAGCCGCGGUAAUACGAAGGGACCUAGCGUAGUUCGGAAUUACUGGGCUUAAAGAGUUCGUAGGUGGUUAAAAAAGUUGGUGGUGAAAUCCCAGAGCUUAACUCUGGAACUGCCAUCAAAACUUUUUAGCUAGAGUAUGAUAGAGGAAGGCAGAAUUUCUAGUGUAGAGGUGAAAUUCGUAGAUAUUCUGAGGAAUACCGGUGGCGAAGGCGGCCCUCUGGAUUGAUACUGACACUGAGGUGCGAAAGCGUGGGGAGCAAACAGGAUUAGAUACCCCUGGUAGUCCACGCCGUAAACGAUGUCUACUAGCCGUUGGGAGGCUUGACCUUUUAGUGGCGAAGCUAACGCGAUAAGUAGACCGCCUGGGGAGUACGGUCGCAAGAUUAAACUCGAAUGAAUUGACGG
rnacentral:rRNA from 1 species